rnacentral:sRNA from 1 species
GCCAGGCAUGGUGGUGCAUACCUGUAAUCCCAGAUUUUGGGGGAGGCUGAUGCAGGAGGAUUUCAAGUUUGAGACCAACUUGGACAAUUUAGCAAGACUCUGUCUCAA